rnacentral:rRNA from 1 species
UAUUUGCCUGAGAACUACUGGCCACAGCUUAAAACUCAAAGGACUUGGCGGUACUUUAUAUCCAUCUAGAGGAGCCUGUUCUAUAAUCGAUAAACCCCGUUAUACCUCACCACCCCUUGCUAAUACAGCCUAUAUACCGCCAUCUUCAGCAAACCCUAAAAAGGAAUAAAAGUAAGCAAGAGAAUCCCCAUAAAAACGUUAGGUCAAGGUGUAGCCAAUGGGGUGGGAAGUAAUGGGCUACAUUUUCUUAUAAAGAACAUUACGCUACCCUUUAUGAAACUAAAGGACAAAGGAGGAUUUAGUAGUAAAUUAAGAAUAGAGAGCUUAAUUGAAUUGAGCAAUGAAGUACGUACACACCGCCCG